AGCGAACGCUGGCGGCAGGCUUAACACAUGCAAGUCGAGCGGGCGUAGCAAUACGUCAGCGGCAGACGGGUGAGUAACGCGUGGGAACGUACCUUUUGGUUCGGAACAACUGAGGGAAACUUCAGCUAAUACCGGAUAAGCCCUUGCGGGGAAAGAUUUAUCGCCGAAAGAUCGGCCCGCGUCUGAUUAGCUAGUUGGUGAGGUAACGGCUCACCAAGGCGACGAUCAGUAGCUGGUCUGAGAGGAUGAUCAGCCACAUUGGGACUGAGACACGGCCCAAACUCCUACGGGAGGCAGCAGUGGGGAAUAUUGGACAAUGGGCGCAAGCCUGAUCCAGCCAUGCCGCGUGAGUGAUGAAGGCCCUAGGGUUGUAAAGCUCUUUUGUGCGGGAAGAUAAUGACGGUACCGCAAGAAUAAGCCCCGGCUAACUUCGUGCCAGCAGCCGCGGUAAUACGAAGGGGGCUAGCGUUGCUCGGAAUCACUGGGCGUAAAGGGUGCGUAGGCGGGUCUUUAAGUCAGGGGUGAAAUCCUGGAGCUCAACUCCAGAACUGCCUUUGAUACUGAGGAUCUUGAGUUCGGGAGAGGUGAGUGGAACUGCGAGUGUAGAGGUGAAAUUCGUAGAUAUUCGCAAGAACACCAGUGGCGAAGGCGGCUCACUGGCCCGAUACUGACGCUGAGGCACGAAAGCGUGGGGAGCAAACAGG
rnacentral:rRNA from 1 species